GCCCGGUUAGCUCAAUCGGUAGAGCGUGAGACUCUUAAUCUCAAGGUUGCGGGUGAGUAGUCCUUCAGUUCAUACCAACGAAGAGCAAAGAGAUACUAACCUACUAUCACAGGUUCGACCCCCGCAUCGGGCU